UGACGAGUGGCGAACGGGUGAGUAAUAUAUCGGAACGUGCCCAGUCGUAGGGGAUAACUGCUCGAAAGAGCAGCUAAUACCGCAUACGACCUGAGGGUGAAAGCGGGGGAUCGCAAGACCUCGCGCGAUUGGAGCGGCCGAUAUCAGAUUAGGUAGUUGGUGGGGUAAAGGCUCACCAAGCCAACGAUCUGUAGCUGGUCUGAGAGGACGACCAGCCACACUGGGACUGAGACACGGCCCAGACUCCUACGGGAGGCAGCAGUGGGGAAUUUUGGACAAUGGGCGCAAGCCUGAUCCAGCCAUGCCGCGUGCGGGAAGAAGGCCUUCGGGUUGUAAACCGCUUUUGUCAGGGAAGAAAAGGUUCUGGUUAAUACCUGGGACUCAUGACGGUACCUGAAGAAUAAGCACCGGCUAACUACGUGCCAGCAGCCGCGGUAAUACGUAGGGUGCAAGCGUUAAUCGGAAUUACUGGGCGUAAAGCGUGCGCAGGCGGUUAUGCAAGACAGAUGUGAAAUCCCCGGGCUCAACCUGGGAACUGCAUUUGUGACUGCAUAGCUAGAGUACGGUAGAGGGGGGUGGAAUUCCGCGU
rnacentral:rRNA from 1 species